CAAUAGCGUAUAUUAACGUUGUUGCAGUUAAAAAGCUCGUAGUUGGAUUUCUGGAGGGAGCGUCGGCCCGUAUUUACGAGUGCGUGACGUCUCUGUCCAUCCUUGCGGGAAGGCAAGGCAUUGAUUUGUUGUGUCGGAUCGCAUCAUUUACUGUGAAAAAAUUAGAGUGUUCAAAGCAGGCUUUCGCUUGAAUACAUUAGCAUGGAAUAAUAAGAUAGGACUUUGGUGCUAUUUUGUUGGUUGAGCCUAAAGUAAUGAUUAAUAGGGAUAGUUGGGGGCACCUGUAUUGCGUUGUCAGAGGUGAAAUUCUUGGAUUUACGCAAGACAAACAGCUGCGAAAGCGUCUGCCAAGGAUGUUUUCAUUAA
rnacentral:rRNA from 1 species